AGAACGAACGCUGGCGGCAUGCCUAACACAUGCAAGUCGAACGAACCCUUCGGGGUUAGUGGCGCACGGGUGCGUAACGCGUGGGAAUCUGCCCUUUGCUUCGGAAUAACAGUUAGAAAUGACUGCUAAUACCGGAUAAUGUCGCAAGACCAAAGAUUUAUCGGCAAGGGAUGAGCCCGCGUAGGAUUAGCUUGUUGGUGAGGUAAAAGCUCACCAAGGCGACGAUCCUUAGCUGGUCUGAGAGGAUGAUCAGCCACACUGGGACUGAGACACGGCCCAGACUCCUACGGGAGGCAGCAGUGGGGAAUAUUGGACAAUGGGCGAAAGCCUGAUCCAGCAAUGCCGCGUGAGUGAUGAAGGCCCUCGGGUCGUAAAGCUCUUUUACCAGGGAUGAUAAUGACAGUACCUGGAGAAUAAGCUCCGGCUAACUCCGUGCCAGCAGCCGC
rnacentral:rRNA from 1 species